CGCCAGAAGGAAACAGUCCUGUGUGCUCUUCCAGUUUGGCUUCAUAGAUAGUCCUGCUACUUUUAGCACAGAUGUAAUGAGCACAUGUAGCCCAUAGAGGAACCCUCUGUAACAAUAUUAUUCUCGUUGCUGCUUUAUCAUAGAGGCCCAAGCACUAUUCUUAGCCCUGUACACCAGCGGGAAUGCAGAUAUUGCCACAUACAAUAGUCGUGUAAAGGAGCGGUAGGCAGAUUUGGCUGAAUCUGACCCAGUGGAGCAAUGAGGAACCUCACGGUUUUACAGCUGAAAAUGAUGAUAGCCCUAUCAAAGACUAAAUGGUACAACAUCACAAGCUUGAAGGACACACCUGGGAAUAGUUGCUUGGUGGGAGCACUGAAGUGCGUUCUGUUUUCCAGCCGGUAAGCGAUAUCCGUCUCCUCAACCCCCUGUCGCUGUGUGCAAAGUCCUGAUGCAAGCGUUACUCCUCUGUUGCCUUCACGGAGUUCAAGAGCUUUUAGAAUAUCCACAUGGGAAGCUAAGAAGAGAACAAGACAGAGGGUCAGCAAAGCAGAGAAAAUGGGCACUACCAUCAAAUAACAGUCGUUGUAUUAGUAACCCUAUUUCAAGCUUCGUCCAUGUUGUUAUUUUCUACCACAUUAAAGAUUAAUCAUGUAAU